rnacentral:rRNA from 1 species
GACGAACGCUGGCGGCGUGCCUAAUACAUGCAAGUUGAGCGAUGAAGAUUGGUGCUUGCACCAAUUUGAAGAGCAGCGAACGGGUGAGUAACGCGUGGGGAAUCUGCCUUUGAGCGGGGGACAACAUUUGGAAACGAAUGCUAAUACCGCAUAACAACUUUAAACAUAAGUUUUAAGUUUGAAAGAUGCAAUUGCAUCACUCAAAGAUGAUCCCGCGUUGUAUUAGCUAGUUGGUGAGGUAAAGGCUCACCAAGGCGAUGAUACAUAGCCGACCUGAGAGGGUGAUCGGCCACAUUGGGGCUGAGACACAGCCCAAACUCCUACGGGAGGCAGCAGUAGGGAAUCUUCGGCAAUGGACGAAAGUCUGACCGAGCAACGCCGCGUGAGUGAAGAAGGUUUUCGGAUCGUAAAACUCUGUUGGUAGAGAAGAACGUUGGUGAGAGUGGAAAGCUCAUCAAGUGACGGUAACUACCCAGAAAGGGACGGCUAACUACGUG